rnacentral:rRNA from 1 species
CCUACGUGAGGCUGCAGUAGGGAAUCUUCCACAAUGGGCGAAAGCCUGAUGGAGCAACGCCGCGUGGGUGAAGAAGGUCUUCGGAUCGUAAAACCCUGUUGUUAGAGAAGAAAGUGCGUGAGAGUAACUGUUCACGUUUCGACGGUAUCUAACCAGAAAGCCACGGCUAACUACGUGCCAGCAGCCGCGGUAAUACGUAGGUGGCAAGCGUUAUCCGGAUUUAUUGGGCGUAAAGGGAACGCAGGCGGUCUUUUAAGUCUGAUGUGAAAGCCUUCGGCUUAACCGGAGUAGUGCAUUGGAAACGGGGAGACUUGAGUGCAGAAGAGGAGAGUGGAACUCCAUGUGUAGCGGUGAAAUGCGUAGAUAUAUGGAAGAACACCAGUGGCGAAAGCGGCUCUCUGGUCUGUAACUGACGCUGAGGUUCGAAAGCGUGGGUAGCAAACAGGAUUAGAUACCCUUGUAGUC